GGCACUAUCGUAUAGUGGUUAAUACACCUGACCUUCAACCAGGGAAGGCUGGUUCGAUUCCAGCUAGAGUCA